rnacentral:misc_RNA from 1 species
AUUUCUUUGCUAUGUCAAUUUCUAUACUUAGGCCGAAAGAAAGUGAGGGCUGGGUAAUCGGAAUCCUUAUCAAACUGAGAAUCCAUGAAUUCAAAGUUUUUGGAACUCAAGGUCAUGUAUUGCAAAGAUUUGAAAUCAUUCAAUUUCUUCCAGAAACUACGGGUGUACGUUCUUGUUUUGCUUGAGAGCGAUGAUCCUGGAAAGAAAUUGAAGCAGAACCAGCAACACAGGACACCCACAGACAAAGAAGGAGAUGCGGAUCCUGAGUGGAAGUACGGGAUGCAGUUUGAUCUGAGUGAGGUUUCAUUUGUGGAUUGUGAUCAUAUCUUUAUUCAUUUUGAUCUACGCCAUGAAGGACUUUAUUUUGGAGAUAAAACUAUCGGGGAAGUACGUGUGCCCUUGAAGGAUUUGAUCCAAGAGAGCAGUGGGAUUGUCAGGUUUGUGAAUUAUCAGGUCAGCACUCCAGAUUGGAAGCCCAAUGGAUUGCUGAAUUUCUCGUUCAAGGUGUAUGCGAAGGGUGAGGAUAUAGGGAUUUAUUUCCCAACAAGUGAGAUCAGUGGGUACUCAGCAGUGCACCAUCAGCAUCAGUCUCCUGAGAUUCAAUAUCCCACAUCCGAAGUUGAGAGCUCAUCUCUUGGAGUUUACUAUCCAUCUAUAGAAUUGGAAGAUAGUCCCCAGGAAACUUACCAUGCUGCCCAAGUUAGCUACCCAUCUCAUGGAACCCAAUAUUCCAGUCAUUAUCCUCCUGCUCCAGCUCCUCAUGCCUAUUGCCCACCAUCAAUGCUACUGCCACCGCCGCUGCUAAACCAACCACCACCACUGCUACACCAACCACCACCACUGCUACACCAACCACCACCAUAUCCACAUGGGGCAUGUUACCAUCCUCCUUUUCCUCCAUGGUUCCACCCCCAGUGAUCGGAUAUAUAGCCAUAGUGCAGACAAUCCCUGUUUUGGCAAUGGAGAGACAUGGACAAAUGAUUUCGGAGCUUACUGGAAUGACAAGUGCAUAUUGCAUUUAGAAUAUUGUUUCAGAUUUGAGUGUUUGUUAUGCUGUUGCUAUACCUCUUCUAAAUCAUAGUUUGUCAAUUAUAUGACUUCUUUAUGGAGAGAAAUUUUG